GAUGAACGCUGGCGGCGUGCCUAAUACAUGCAAGUCGAGCGAACGGACGAGAAUCUUGCUUCUCUGAUGUUAGCGGCGGACGGGUGAGUAACACGUGGAUAACCUACCUAUAAGACUGGGAUAACUUCGGGAAACCGUAGCUAAUACCGGAUAAUAUUUUGAACCGCAUGGUUCAAAAGUGAAAGACGGUCUUGCUGUCACUUAUAGAUGGAUCCGCGCUGCAUUAGCUAGUUGGUAAGGUAACGGCUUACCAAGGCAACGAUGCAUAGCCGACCUGAGAGGGUGAUCGGCCACACUGGAACUGAGACACGGUCCAGACUCCUACGGGAGGCAGCAGUAGGGAAUCUUCCGCAAUGGGCGAAAGCCUGACGGAGCAACGCCGCGUGAGUGAUGAAGGUCUUCGGAUCGUAAAACUCUGUUAUUAGGGAAGAACAUAUGUGUAAGUAACUGUGCACAUCGUGACGGUACCUAAUCAGAAAGCCACGGCUAACUACGUG
rnacentral:rRNA from 1 species